rnacentral:rRNA from 1 species
GAUGAACGCUAGCGAUAGGCCUAACACAUGCAAGUCGAGGGGCAGCACAUGAGGUAGCAAUACCGAUGGUGGCGACCGGCGCACGGGUGAGUAACACGUAUGCAACCUGCCUUCAACAAGGGCAUAACCCGUUGAAAGACGGACUAAUACCCUAUAAUACAGGGGCCCCGCAUGGGGAUAUUUGUUAAAGAUUUAUCGGUUGAAGAUGGGCAUGCGUUCCAUUAGCUGGUUGGUGGGGUAACGGCCCACCAAGGCAACGAUGGAUAGGGGAACUGAGAGGUUUAUCCCCCACACUGGUACUGAGACACGGACCAGACUCCUACGGGAGGCAGCAGUGAGGAAUAUUGGUCAAUGGACGCAAGUCUGAACCAGCCACGUCGCGUGAAGGAAGACGGCCCUACGGGUUGUAAACUUCUUUUAUACGGGAAUAAAGUGCCCCACGCGUGGGGUUUUGCAUGUACCGUAUGAAUAAGGAUCGGCUAACUCCGUGCCAGCAG